rnacentral:lncRNA from 1 species
CUCUUCGUUUAUUUUAUUAUGUAUUUCAUGUUAAAAUUAUAUAUAUUUUAAACCUUUAGUGCGUUAUUCCUAUUAAUUCUAGUUCAUAUUCAUUUAUACAUAUUAGUAUUUAUUGUUAUCCGAGUAAUAUCCAAUAUAAAUCUGAGCCAUAUCUGAAUCAGAAUCCGAUUUCAGCGAAUAUGGUAAAUAAAAAUUUAGCAUCCGACAUACAUCCGGAUCCGAAUUCACAUCCAGAAAAAAAUAAAAGUAGAUAGAUUUUGUUAAAAAUUGGAUUGUAUUAGACUAUUUUCACCCCUACU